GCACCAGUAGCUCAACUGGAUAGAGCAUCAGACUUCGGAUCUGAGGGUUAGGGGUUCGAUUCCUCUCUGGUGUACCA
rnacentral:tRNA from 1 species